AAUCACCGACUCUUUCUUCUUCUUCAUAACCAGUGAAGAAGAUAAAAUAUCAUUCAUCAAUAACUUACAUUCUACCAUACGCAACUUCAAUUUCAAGUUUCCACUGAUUCAGAUCCACCACACAUUGUUCAAAUCGCACUUUCAAGUUUCAAUCCUGCAACUGUGUGGAGUAAUUUCGAAACAGUUUUUGUAGACGGAUUCACAAACGAGGAUGAGAUUUAUAAGGAUUUCUCGAGCAAACCUUCAAUGGUAUCUUAUGGAAUGGCAUCCAUUCGGAACAGCUUUCAACACGAUAUGUUUUUGAGCUUCAGAAAAGACUAAGGUUUGGAUUUAUACCUCAAUAAGAAGAGGAAGUCGGUUGAAGUGGUUGGUGUCAGUUAAAUCGGUUUUAUGGUGGUGGCAUUGAUUUUAGAACUCGCCAGAAAACUCCAUCGAGUGGGUUUUCUAAUAAAUAAUCAUUUGACACUUUAGCAAUUAACAGUGACCAACAAGGCUUCAGCAUGGAUCCAACUUGUUGUUUUUUCAAAUCUUAGUCUCCUCCUGGGCUCAGAGUUUCCUUCACGUCAGAUAACUUCAUCGGUGACUGUCCAUCCCCGGAUUUUGAAGACGAUGAACUGAAUGGGUCCACGGAUGAAUUGAGUCGAAGAGAUUUGUGAGAGCAAUAUCUAUUUCGAUUGCUACCUAUGGAAAGAAAACCAUCAUUAUCAAGAUGAAAAAUGGGUCUCACUCACUUUAUUAUGUUCCGUAUGUAUCAAGAAAAAAUUGCAGACGUCUUAUUUUUCAUCUUAAUAAGGAUGGCUUUCUCUUCCACCGGUAGCAUUCGAAAUGGACCUCGCUCUCACAAAUCUCUUCGACUUAAUUCAUCCGUGGACCCAUUCAGUUCAUCGUCUUCAAAAUCCGGGUAUGGACAGUUAUCGACAAAGUUGUCCGACGUGAAAGAAACUCUGAGCUCGGGAGGAGACGAAGAUUGAAAAAACAGCAAGUUGUAUCCAUGCUGAAGCAUUGGUGGUCACUAUUGAUCCAACUGCUAAAGUAUCAACAUAUCAGAAUGUGAACAAGCCUAUUUUGGAGAAUUAAACCCUUGGGGUUAGCGCCAAUGAACUUGUGGAUGCUCACAAGAGAGCAACGAUAUAUGGGCUUAAACCCGUUUAUGCAUCCUUGAGAAACAAGUCUACAAACGUUCUGCUUCUAGGAGCAAUCCUUCUGUUGGUACUUUAGUAGUUGGAUCAACAGGGACCACCAAGGCUUCAGCAUGGAUCCAACUUGUUUUUUCAAAUCUUAGUCUCCUCUUGAGCUCAGAGUUUCCUUCACGUCGGAUAACUUCAUCGGUAACUAUCCAUACCCGGAUUUUGAAGACGAUGAACUGAAUGGGUCCACGGAUGAAUUAAGUCGAAGAGAUUUGUGAGAGCGAGAUCCAUGUGAUCGCACCUGAUUGCUUUUCAACAACAUUAAGCAUAUUCUUCACCAACAAGGGGCACUUAUGAUUCAUGUGAUCGCACCUUAUUGCUUUUUCGAAAUGGACUAGAAAAAUAUUUUGGAAAAUCACUUUCUAAUGAUUUAUAAGUUACGCUUUGAAGAAGAUUUUGAGUUUGUAAUCGUUGAGGCCAACUCAAUUAGCUUUGCUACUAUCCAAGAAAACGGGAAGAAUGAGGCUUUUGGGGUUACGUUUUCAAAUUUUAAAUAUGCGGGAGCCUAGCUAUCUACUUCAUGAAGGUUAUGAUGUCUCUUUUUACAACAAGCCCUAUAUAUACAUACAUCUGGACACCUAAGGGUGGGCGAAGUGGGUUCGGGGAGUGGAGCGAGGAGGGGACUUUGCCGCGCGGUGAAGUGGUGCCGGCCUUCAAUCGGUGAGCGGUGAGUGGGUUGGGCGGUGACUUGUCACCGGCUCGGUGAAGAAGAGAAAUGUAGGAGAGAGAUGGUGAAUGGUGGGCCUCAACCCCUUUCAACCAAUCACAUUUUUUUUAAAUUGUUUACCACUCUCCAUGUGUUUGACCAUUGCUAGUGAUUGAGUGCAAAAUGGGAAGUGAAGUGGAAACUUGACAUGACAUGACAUUAUUGGUUAGAAAAUUGUUUAAAUACUCACCAUUUGGUGACCACUCCCUCCACCCUAAUUGUUUUCAUGUUUUUGGUUUUGGAGAGAAAUUGUGGUCAUCUUGUUUUGUUUUGGUGAUGAAUGAUGAAUCAUGGUUGCAUCUUUUGAAGCUCUGUUAAUCGUUUUGUUUUUA